rnacentral:rRNA from 1 species
UACGAAGGGGACUAGCGUUGUUCGGAAUCACUGGGCGUAAAGCGCGCGUAGGCGGAUGUGUCAGUCAGGGGUGAAAUCCCGGGGCUCAACCUCGGAACUGCCUUUGAUACAGCACGUCUCGAGUCCGGAAGAGGUGGGUGGAAUUCCUAGUGUAGAGGUGAAAUUCGUAGAUAUUAGGAAGAACACCGGUGGCGAAGGCGGCCCACUGGUCCGGUACUGACGCUGAGGUGCGAAAGCCAGGGGAGCAAACGGG